rnacentral:rRNA from 1 species
AUUGAACGCUGGCGGCAUGCUUUACACAUGCAAGUCGAACGGUAACAGGCCGCGAGGUGGUGAUGAGUGGCGGACGGGGGAGUACUGCAUAGGAACGUGCCCAGUCCUGGGGGUUCACUACUGGUAAGGGAAGCUAAUACAGCAUACGAUCUCAUGCUGCCAGCGGGGGAACGCAGGGCAUCGUGCGAUUGGAGGGGCUGGUGUCAGAUUAGGUAGUUGGUGGGGUAAAGGCCCACCAAGCCAACGAUCUGUAGCUGGUCUGAGAGGACGACCAGCCACACUGGAACUGAGACACGGUCCAGACUCCUACGGGAGGCAGCAGUGGGGAAUUUUGGACAAUGGGCGCAAGCCUGAUCCAGCAAUGCCGCGUGCAGGAAGAAGGCCUUCGGGUUGUAAAGUGCUUUUGUACGGAACGAAACGCCGCUGGUUAAUACCCGGCUCUAAUGACGGUACCGUAAGAAUAAGCACCGGCUAACUACGUG